GCAAGUCGAGGGGUAACAGGGAAGCUUGCUUCCGCUGACGACCGGCGCACGGGUGCGUAACGCGUAUGCAACCUACCUUAUACUGGGGGAUAGCCCGAAGAAAUUCGGAUUAAUACCCCAUGGUUCUAUAAAUAUUCCUAUAUUAAUAGAUAAAGCUUUGGCGGUAUAAGAUGGGCAUGCGUGACAUUAGCUAGUUGGUAAGGUAACGGCUUACCAAGGCUACGAUGUCUAGGGGUUCUGAGAGGAUGAUC
rnacentral:rRNA from 1 species